ensembl:lncRNA
CAGGAGAAGAAAAUCCCUGUGCCUCUCCAGAGAAAUUAUAGAGCCACUACAAAAGAUUAGUAUAUGUAAGUCAUGAUUUCACUGGACAUAACAGGAAUUUUAACACCAAUUUCCAUUAUAGGACAGGUUUUCACUCUGUAUUGCUAAAAGUAACCUUACUUGGAGAGUGCCUUCAUAGCGAGAGGAGAGUAAAAAUUUCUCUGCGUAGUUGGAGACUGAUUUCCCCUCUACUAAAUUUCUAGCCUACUACAGAUUAGCCUACAAUUUUGCAAAAAGAACAAAAGAUAUGUGCCCCAAAAUUUCAGUGCAACAUGUUCAUUUUAAGCUUUCUCCAAUAAAAGGCUGCAGAUUUAAUGUGCAGGCAAAGAAGACUCUCUCAAGUUGCCAGAAGCUCAGCAACAGCACUGAGGAAACAAGAUUGUCAUUUGUUUUUAAACUCUGGAUGGACUGCCUUCCAUGUGCGCUUUGAAUAACUAAAUACAGUUUCCCUGGAAGCUGGGCUUGACUGGAGUCUUCAGAUAAAGGUGUUUUGCACAAUUUCUGAGUGCUCUGCCCAAAACCAUUCUCCCCUUCUCCAUUGUUUGCUGUAGCAACUAGGGGAACCAAGAAGAUAUCAUAACCACACUGAUGAAGAGGAAUACCUGAGACAUCAUUCAAGUCAGGGAGAAGUGAAAAAAUAGGAAAAUGGUGGGGGGGACUUCUGCAUUGGGAACAAUAAUUAAUCGGCUUCAUGAAUUUCAAAAGAAG